rnacentral:rRNA from 1 species
ACUCCUUUUAUAAGGGAAGAUAAUGACGGUACUUUAUGAAUAAGCACCGGCUAACUCCGUGCCAGCAGCCGCGGUAAUACGGAGGGUGCAAGCGUUACUCGGAAUCACUGGGCGUAAAGGAUGCGUAGGCUGUAAUAUAAGUCAGAAGUGAAAUCCAACGGCUUAACCGUUGAACUGCUUUUGAAACUGUUUUACUAGAAUAUGGGAGAGGUAGAUGGAAUUGGUGGUGUAGGGGUAAAAUCCGUAGAUAUCACCAGGAAUACCGAUUGCGAAGGCGAUCUACUGGAACAUUAUUGACGCUGAGGCAUGAAAGCGUGGGGAGCGAACAGGAUUAGAUACCCUGGUAGUCCACGCCCUAAACGAUGCACACUAGUUGUUGCGAUGCUAGUCAUUGCAGUAAUGCACUUAACAGAUUAAGUGUGCCGCCUGGGGAGUACGGUCGCAAGAUUAAAACUCAAAGGAAUAGACGGGGACCCGCACAAGCGGUGGAGCAUGUGGUUUAAUUCGAAGAUACACGAAGAACCUUACCUGGGCUUGAUAUCCUUGGAAUCUUGUAGAGAUACGAGAGUGCUAGUUUACUAGAACCAAGAGACAGGUGCUGCACGGCUGUCGUCAGCUCGUGUCGUGAGAUGUUGGGUUAAGUCCCGCAACGAGCGCAACCCUCGUGAUUAGUUGCUAACAGUUCGGCUGAGCACUCUAAUCAGACUGCCUUCGCAAGGAGGAGGAAGGUGAGGACGACGUCAAGUCAUCAUGGCUUCUUAUGCCUCAGGGCUACACACGUGCUACAAUGGCGCGUACAAAGAGAGGCGAUACCGCGAGGUGGAGCAAAUCUUAAAAACGCGUCUCAGUUCGGAUUGGAGUCUGCAACUCGACUCCAUGAAGCUGGGAAUCGCUAGUAAUCGUAGAUCAGAUAUGCUACGGUGAAUACGUUCCCGGG